CCUACGGGUGGCAGCAGUGAGGAAUAUCGGUCAAUGGACGAGAGUCUGAACCAGCCAAGUAGCGUGAAGGAUGACUGCCCUAUGGGUUGUAAACUUCUUUUAUAUGGGAAUAAAAUGUUCCACGUGUGGGAUUUUGUCUGUACCAUAUGAAUAAGGAUCGGCUAACUCCGUGCCAGCAGCCGCGGUAAUACGGAGGAUCCGAGCGUUAUCCGGAUUUAUUGGGGUUAAAGGGAGUGUAGGUGGACUGUUAAGUCAGUUGUGAAAGUUUGCGGCUCAACCGGAAAAUUGCAGUUGAAACUGGCAGUCUUGAGGACAGUAGAGGUGGGCGGAAUUCGUGGUGUAGCGGUGAAAUGCUUAGAUAUCACGAAGAACUCCGAUUGCGAAGGCAGUGCACUGGACUGCAACUGACACUGAGGCUCGAAAGUGUGGGUAUCAAACAGGAUUAGAUACCCUGGUAUC
rnacentral:rRNA from 1 species